rnacentral:rRNA from 1 species
AGUGAACGCUGGCGGUAGGCCUAACACAUGCAAGUCGAACGGCAGCACAGUAAGAGCUUGCUCUUACGGGUGGCGCGUGGCGGAAGGGUGAGGUAUACAUCGGAAUCUACUUUUUCGUGGGGGAUAACGUAGGGAAACUUACGCUAAUACCGCAUACGACCUACGGGUGAAAGCAGGGGAUCUUCGGACUUUGCGCGAUUGAAUGAGCCGAUGUCGGAUGAGCUAGGUGGCGGGGUAAAGGCCAACCAAGGCGACUAUCCGUAGCUGGUCUGAGAGCAUGUUCAGCCACACUGGAACUGAGACACGGUCCAGACUCCUACAGGAGGAAGCAGUGGAGAAUAUUGGACAAGGGGGGCAAGCCUGAUACAGCAAUACCGCGUGGGUGAUGAAGGCCUUCGGGUUGUUAAGCCCUUUUGUUGGGAAAGAAGAGCAGCAGGUUAAUACCCCGCUAUUCUGACGGUACCCAAAGAAUAAGCACCGGCUAACUUCGUG